UGUGCAAGUGACGAUGAAACAGACGAGGACAUCAGCACCUCCAUAUUGGAGAAUGAUGAUUUGUCUUCGGGAAUCUCUCUGAUGCACU